rnacentral:lncRNA from 1 species
UCACUUUCUCUCCCUUGCGAUUUCCGCCGACUCCUCUCUUCUCCCUUGCGAUUUCCGGCGAUUUCUCUCUUCUCCCUCGCGAUUUCCACUCCCAUAAUCAUGUAAGAACCCUAUCCCACUCUCUUAGGGUAGAUUUGUAUGGUUUUGAAGUAGAUUUGAUGAUUUUGGAAUGAGAUUUAUAGAUUUUUGUUAGGUUGAAUGGUAGGAUUGUGUAAAAUCGAGUUUGAUUAUGUAUUUCACUUGAUUUGGAUUUUUUUUUGGUUUUUAUUGAUUUUGUGGUUAUAAAAAUCGAAUUUGUAAUUAUAUAUGUAUAUAUUCAAAACGUUUUUUGUAUAUAAAAUCUAUUUUUUGCAUUUUAAAAUCAUUUAUAUAUUUAUUAAUGAUUUUUAAAAUCUAUAAAACUUUUUUGUGAUUAAAAAUCAUAUAUAUAUAAUAUUUAAAAUCAUUUUUUUGUGGUAAUAAAACGUUUUAUGUAUUUUAUAUAUAAAAUAUAAAUUUUUAUAUUUAUUUAACAUUUUUAAUAUUAUUAAAACUAUUUUUUGUAAUUAUUAAACAUUUUAAAUAUUUUUAAAACUAUUUUUUGUAAUUAUUAAACUGUUUUUGGGGUUUAUUAAAACUAUUUUUUUAAUUUUUAAACUAUUUUUUAUUUAUAAAAACUUUUUUUGUUAAUUAUUAAACUAUUUAUAUUUUUGUGAUUAAAAAUUAUUUUUAAUUAAAACUUUUUUUUUUUAAUUUACAGGUCUAAUGAUGAUCAGAUCCGGCCUCGCCAGCGUCGUAGCCGGGGUGGUAUGGGGAGCCAGUCUCGGGGUUCGUCCAGCCAUGUUCAGGAUUCCGUUUCGCCCCACAGCUCCUACCAUACAUCUCCCUCUCCAUUACCCGCUCCUGCUGCUCCCGCUCCCGCUGCUAUACCCGCUCCUGCUCCUACGGGUCCUCCGGGAGUGAUGAGUGUUGCGGAGUUGGUUCGACAGCCCG